UACGGAAGGCAGCAGUAGGGGAAUCUUCCGCAAUGGACGAAAGUCUGACGGAGCAACGCCGCGUGAACGAUGAAGGCUUUCGGGUCGUAAAGUUCUGUUGUUAGGGAAGACAAGUACCGGAGUAACUGCCGGUACCUUGACGGUACCUAACCAGAAAAGCCACGGCUAACUACGUGCCAGCAGCCGCGGUAAUACGUAGGUGGCAAGCGUUGUCCGGAAUUAUUGGGCGUAAAGCGCGCGCAGGCGGUCCUUUUAAGUCUGAUGUGAAAGCCCACGGCUCAACCGUGAGGGUCAUUGGAAACUGGGGGACUUGAGUGCAGAAGAGGAGAGUGGAAUUCCACGUGUAGCGGUGAAAUGCGUAGAGAUGUGGAGGAACACCAGUGGCGAAGGCGACUCUCUGGUCUGUAACUGACGCUGAGGCGCGAAAGCGUGGGGAGCGAACAGGGAUUAGAUACCCGU
rnacentral:rRNA from 1 species